rnacentral:rRNA from 1 species
ACGGACGCUGGCGGCGUGCUUAACACAUGCAAGUCGCACGGAAAGGCCCCAGCUUGCUGGGGUACUCGAGUGGCGAACGGGUGAGUAACACGUGGGUGAUCUGCCCUGCACUCUGGGAUAAGCCUGGGAAACUGGGUCUAAUACCGGAUAGGACCGUGCUUUAGUGUGUGCGGUGGAAAGUUUUUCGGUGCAGGAUGAGCCCGCGGCCUAUCAGCUUGUUGAUGGGGUAAUGGCCUACCAAGGCGGCGACGGGUAGCCGGCCUGAGAGGGUGUACGGCCACAUUGGGACUGAGACACGGCCCAGACUCCUACGGGAGGCAGCAGUGGGGAAUAUUGCACAAUGGGCGCAAGCCUGAUGCAGCGACGCCGCGUGGGGGAUGACGGCCUUCGGGUUGUAAACCCCUUUCGGCAGGGACGAAGCUUUUGUGACGGUACCUGCAUAAGAAGCACCGGCUAACUACGUG